rnacentral:rRNA from 1 species
GACGAACGCUGGCGGUGUGCUUAACACAUGCAAGUCGAACGGUAAGGCCCUUUCGGGGGUACACGAGUGGCGAACGGGUGAGUAACACGUGAGUAACCUGCCCUCAUCUCUGGGAUAACAGUCGGAAACGGUUGCUAAUACUGGAUAUGAGCUUGCAAGGCAUCUUGUGGGUUGGAAAGAUUUUGUUGGUUGGGGAUGGACUCGCGGCCUAUCAGCUUGUUGGUGAGGUAGUGGCUCACCAAGGCUUCGACGGGUAGCCGGCCUGAGAGGGCGACCGGCCACAUUGGGACUGAGAUACGGCCCAAACUCCUACGGGAGGCAGCAGUGGGGAAUAUUGCACAAUGGACGGAAGUCUGAUGCAGCAACGCCGCGUGCGGGAUGACGGCCUUCGGGUUGUAAACCGCUUUCAAUUGUGACGAAGCUUUUUGUGACGGUAGCAGUAGAAGAAGCACCGGCUAACUACGUG